GACGAACGCUGGCGGCGUGCUUAACACAUGCAAGUCGAACGGAAAGGCCUGCUUUCCCUUGUGGAUUGCGGGUACUCGAGUGGCGAACGGGUGAGUAACACGUGAGUGAUCUGCCCCCAACUUGGGUAUAAGCCUGGGAAACUGGGUCUAAUUCCCGAUAGGACUGCAGGGUGGUGCCUGUGGUGGAAAACGAUUUUCUAGUGGUUGGGGAUGAGCUCGCGGCCUAUCAGCUUGUUGGUGGGGUAAUGGCCUACCAAGGCGGCGACGGGUAGCCGGCCUGAGAGGGUGGACGGCCACAUUGGGACGGAGAUGCGGCCCAGACUCCUACGGGAGGCAGCAGUGGGGAAUAUUGCACAAUGGGCGGAAGCCUGAUGCAGCGACGCCGCGUGGGGGAUGACGGCCUUCGGGUUGUAAACUCCUUUCGACCGCGAGGAAGCCACCUGGUUGGAAGGGUGGUGACGGUAGUGGUAGAAGAAGCACCGGCUAACUACGUG
rnacentral:rRNA from 1 species